rnacentral:misc_RNA from 1 species
GAUGAAGAACGUAGCGAAAUGCGAUAAGUAAUGCGAAUUGCAGAAUUUCCGUGAGCCAUCGAAUCUUUGAACGCACAUUGCGCCCCCUGGUAUUCCGGGGGGCAUGCCUGUCCGAGCGUCAUUACAACCCUCAAGCUCAGCUUGGUGUUGGGCCCCGCCGCCCCGGCGGGCCCUAAAGUCAGUGGCGGUGCCGUCCGGCUCCGAGCGUAGUAAUUCUUCUCGCUCUGGAGGUCCGGUCGUGUGCUCGCCAGCAACCCCCAAUUUUUUUCAGGUUGACCUCGGAUCAGGUAGGGAUACCCGCUGAACUUAAGCAUAUCAAUAAGCGGAGGA